CAACAAGAAGUACCGGCAGGAAGAAGGAAGUUCCACCUGCAGGCUAGUCAUAUUACAACACAUUUCCACACAUCUUCCCCCCUCUCUUAAACCAACAAUUAUAUUAUUAUUAAAACAGUACAGUUUAGGGCGUUUGGAGCAAUUUGGAGGGGCAACUGAACUCAGUGGUACUCCUUGUUCCUUACAGUUAGCAGCCACCUUCCCCACCCCCCUCCCACCUUCAAUGUUUCCUUCAGAAUGAUGCUGCAUUGUGAAGCAUGCUGGAAAAUCAUAAAUGGAGGCUGCCAGCCAGGAGGAGUGCUGGUGAGCUCCUCUUUGCAAACUGCAAAAAAGGCCAUUUCCCCCUCCCCUUUUCUCUCUCUAAUCUCAACAAAUCAGGUUUAGAUUUCUUGGUGAUGAAUGUCUGAUCCAUCUCUAGAAAAAUAUUAGUGUCUAACCUUUUUCACUUGUCAAAAUACAAGGAAAAGUAUGCAGCCAGUAUUCUACUCAAUUGCUCUCUGAGAAGCAUGCAAUUAAAUAGCUUUAAACGUAUUAGACUGCUUGUUGCCAUCCUGCAAUUAUUCCCCACCUUCACUGGCCUUCUCACCACAAAUUGCAAUGGCAUGAUCGAGGUUGUUCUAUUCAUCUCAUCACCCACAGUCUUCAGAAUAUUCUGCUCCUACUUUGCACAUCAAAUUGUUUCCCUUUGGAGCUUACCAAGAUCGGCAGUACGUGUAUAUCAAUUCACAGCUUUUCCAUCCUGCAUUCCAAGCAGCUUGCAUUGGCAGCAACACAAAACCUAGAAGAAAUGAAACUUCAAAAUGGCAAUCAGAUAGGACAAGAGAACUUCCCAUUAGCCAUGCCCUUGCAACAGAAGGAAAGCAGCAAGUACCUGACCUGUCACUUGAGAAAACGGAGGAGGGUCUAAUUUAAUCAGAAGUAUUCCAAUGUGUUAAUAGUCAGUUCAUCAACUGUGAGCACAUGCCCUCUAAUUGUAUCCCCUGUUGAGAAAUAACAAUGUUUUUAAAAAGCUUAUGUGAGAAUAUAUAUAAAAAAUCCUACCAAGAAAGUGUAUUUCAA